UUGCUUCGGCAGCAUGUAUACUAAAAUUGGAACGACACAGAGAUUAGCAUGGCUAAUCUGUACAAGGACGGCACGCCAGUUCAUGAAGCCUUCCACAUCGCU